AGAGUAGUUGAUUCUUCUUCUCUUUUCCUAUUCCUUUUUCUUCUUCCUUAACUUCUGUGAUAUUAUAAAGUACUCCGCCAACAAGGGUUGGUAAUGGGACUGGUGGAUAGGGGAAGGAUUGGUAAUGGGACUGGUGGAUAGGGGAAGGAUUGGUAAUGGGACUGGUGGAUAGGGGAAGGAUUGGUAAUGGGACUGGUGGAUAGGGGAAGGAUUGGUAAUGGGACUGGUGGAUAGGGGAAGGAUUGGUAAUGGGACUGGUGGAUAGGGGAAGGAUUGGUAAUGGGACUGGUGGAUAGGGGAAGGAUUGGUAAUGGGACAGGUGGAUAGGGGAAGGAUUGGUAAUGGGACUGGUGGAUAAGGGAAGGGUUGGUAAUGGGACAGGUGGAUAGGGGAAGGAUUGGUAAUGGGACUGGUGGAUAGGGGAAGGGUUGGUAAUGGGACUGGUGGAUAGGGGAAGGAUUGGUAAUGGGACUGGUGGAUAGGGGAAGGAUUGGUAAUGGGACUGGUGGAUAGGGGAAGGGUUGGCAAUGGGACUGGUGGAUAGGGGAAGGAUUGGUAAUGGGACUGGUGGAUAGGGGAAGAGUUGGUAA